AUGUCAUUGUUUUCAUUCAGUGUAUAGUUUACAUACUUAAGAGUAAAAUACACUUCCUAACAGAAAAUUCUGUUCCUAUACAUAAUCCUCCGCCAUACGUACGCCCCUCUGUGUGGAAGCCCAUUUUGUGAUGGAAGAAUACGUUGUUUUUAAAACGAAACACUGUCCGAGAUAAAAACAUCUUGAGUAAUCCAUUGCAUGGAUUACAGAAUACAGAUAUUUCACAGCACACUCCCUAUCAGGGCUUUUCAGUGACUGGUUAGUGGUUACAUUAUGAAUAGAUAAAUAAAACCGGACUGACGUGAAGCAGACCGAGGUAGACUUUGAGCUUACAAAUGGCGCUUGAGCAGUCGCUAUUAGUCCAUACCUCAUUAAUGAUCUGCCUCCAGACCCAUGUGCCUAACCCACCCAAACAAGAUUAUAGUCAGCUACAGUUUGUGACUGGCAAUGAAAACUACUUAUUUUACAAUGGCUGGCAAUGAAAACUACCUAUUAAUAAUUAUUACAAUUUAUAUUGCGCUAAUUUCAUAUAUGACAUGAUCAAAAGCGCAUCACUGACAAGAUUUACAAUGCCAAUUGAUCACAUUUGCCUUGAUUUCAAUUAAGCUAUUGUUUCGUGUGCAACUAAGCAAGUUCGGAAAGUGUCUAGUGGAAUGCAAUACAAUAUGAAUUAAAAACUAACCUAUUAAGUUAAUUAACAUAAAGGGUCCUAUUCAAUUGAGGUCAGUAUUCGGCUUUUCAAUUCCUACAGUAAAAUAUUCACAUGAUUUCUAAUAACAUAAAUCAGUUCAAAGCAUAGUCUUUCGAGACAUGGUCUGGAAAGUCAGUAAACUUCAAAGCGGUUAUAAUGAGCUGUGUGUUUAUGUUGAGCCGUAACUUACACCGUGCACAUCCUUUGUUUUAGGUUUAUUAAUUUAAAUAGCAUGGUUGAAUGACUGACUGAAACGUUGCUAUUGGAUGAUUCGCUUAUUAUACUGAAAUACAAUGUGUUCAUUGCGCAUGACCGUGCACCGUGCACAAAACUGCAUAAACGCGAACAAAAAGAUAGAACAAAGACUUUAGCGGAGUUCCAAACCAUGUUUUGAAAGACUAUGUUCAAAGUAAUAGUUCAUAAUAAAAUAAAUAUGUACAUAUAUGAAUUACUAGCUUAUAAGCGCAUUAAUUACGACUAGAAGUCCAUAUGACCAUAUCAUUAAUAGAAAAAAAAACACAACUAUAAAGAUAUAUACUGUAUCGAUUUUAUUUUCUAAAAUCUUGGAAAAAGGAAUAUUUCUUUGUAUUUCUAACUGUUUUAACAUCAAAGAUUCGUGGCCUUUCAUUUGUUCCUGUGCUGAGGCUCAGGCCAAACGACCAAUUUUAAUUUUUCAAUUAGUAACUUACAGUAUUGUACCCUGGUUCCAGAGGCGCUUUGCGAGGCGAAAGAAACGAGAAGCGAUAACGGAGAGCCUCUGGUCAUAUCGAUUGCAAAUCCCACUUCCACACCAACCUCGUUCCCAGGCUUUUUCUUCCACACAUGAUUACGUUCAGAAUUUGAAUCUCCCAUGUGAUCGGCCAUUUGUAAAAAUUGUAAGCUAAUUAUAGCCUUAAAGGCCAUGUAAA
rnacentral:lncRNA from 1 species